rnacentral:rRNA from 1 species
GUAAGGAAUAUUGGGCAAUGGGGGAAACCCUGACCCAGCGACGCCGCGUGAGGGAAGAAGGCCUUAGGGUCGUAAACCUCUGUUGUGUGGGAAGAAGAGCGUGACGGUACCACACGAGGAAGUCCCGGCUAACUCCGUGCCAGCAGCCGCGGUAAUACGGAGGGUGCGAGCGUUGUCCGGAUUUAUUGGGUUUAAAGGGUGCGUAGGCUGGAAGGUCAGUCAGCGGUGAAAAGCUGUCGCUUAACGAUAGUCUUGCCGCAGAUACUUCCUUUCUUGGAUGAGGAGGAGGCCACUGGAACGGAUGGUGUAGCGGUGAAAUGCAUAGAUAUCAUCCAGAACACCGAUUGCGAAGGCAGGUGGCUGUACCUUAAUCGACGCUGAUGCACGAAAGCAUGGGGAGCAAACAGGAUUAGAAACCCCUGUAGUCC